GCCGAGCUGGCGCACGUCGUGGCGCAGGUCGUUCCAAUCCGCCGGGCGCUCGCCGGGGGCGUUCCGGUCCUCUGCCCGGUGC
rnacentral:tRNA from 1 species